rnacentral:rRNA from 1 species
UAGUCGAUGGGAAACGGGUUAAUAUUCCCGUACUUGGUGUUACUGCGAAGGGGGGACGGAGAAGGCUAUGUUGGCCGGGCGACGGUUGUCCCGGUUUAAGCGUGUAGGUAUGUGUUCCAGGUAAAUCCGGUUCACUUUAACACUGAGGCGUGACGACGAGGCACUACGGUGCUGAAGCAACAAAUGCCCUGCUUCCAGGAAAAGCCUCUAAGCAUCAGGUAACAUCAAAUCGUACCCCAAACCGACACAGGUGGUCAGGUAGAGAAUACCAAGGCGCUUGAGAGAACUCGGGUGAAGGAACUAGGCAAAAUGGUGCCGUAACUUCGGGAGAAGGCACGCUGACACGUAGGUGAAGUGAUUUACUCACGGAGCUGAAGUCAGCCGAAGAUACCAGCUGGCUGCAACUGUUUAUUAAAAACACAGCACUGUGCAAACACGAAAGUGGACGUAUACGGUGUGACGCCUGCCCGGUGCCGGAAGGUUAAUUGAUGGGGUCAGCGCAAGCGAAGCUCCUGAUCGAAGCCCCGGUAAACGGCGGCCGUAACUAUAACGGUCCUAAGGUAGCGAAAUUCCUUGUCGGGUAAGUUCCGACCUGCACGAAUGGCGUAAUGAUGGCCAGGCUGUCUCCACCCGAGACUCAGUGAAAUUGAACUCGCUGUGAAGAUGCAGUGUACCCGCGGCAAGACGGAAAGACCCCGUGAACCUUUACUAUAGCUUGACACUGAACAUUGAGCCUUGAUGUGUAGGAUAGGUGGGAGGCUUUGAAGUGUGGACGCCAGUCUGCAUGGAGCCGACCUUGAAAUACCACCCUUUAAUGUUUGAUGUUCUAACGUGGACCCGUGAUCCGGGUUGCGGACAGUGUCUGGUGGGUAGUUUGACUGGGGCGGUCUCCUCCUAAAGAGUAACGGAGGAGCACGAAGGUUGGCUAAUCCUGGUCGGACAUCAGGAGGUUAGUGCAAUGGCAUAAGCCAGCUUGACUGCGAGCGUGACGGCGCGAGCAGGUGCGAAAGCAGGUCAUAGUGAUCCGGUGGUUCUGAAUGGAAGGGCCAUCGCUCAACGGAUAAAAGGUACUCCGGGGAUAACAGGCUGAUACCGCCCAAGAGUUCAUAUCGACGGCGGUGUUUGGCACCUCGAUGUCGGCUCAUCACAUCCUGGGGCUGAAGUAGGUCCCAAGGGUAUGGCUGUUCGCCAUUUAAAGUGGUACGCGAGCUGGGUUUAGAACGUCGUGAGACAGUUCGGUCCCUAUCUGCCGUGGGCGCUGGAGAACUGAGGGGGGCUGCUCCUAGUACGAGAGGACCGGAGUGGACGCAUCACUGGUGUUCGGGUUGUCAUGCCAAUGGCACUGCCCGGUAGCUAAAUGCGGAAGAGAUAAGUGCUGAAAGCAUCUAAGCACGAAACUUGCCCCGAGAUGAGUUCUCCCUGAGACUUUAGGUCUCCUGAAGGAACGUUGAAGACGACGACGUUGAUAGGCCGGGUGUGUAAGCGCAGCGAUGCGUUGAGCUAACCGGUACUAAUGAACCGUGAGGCUUAACCUU